rnacentral:lncRNA from 1 species
GGGUGGAGCAGGAAGGGUGGAGGAAGAAGAAAAAUUAUCUUUAAUAUAUGUAGAUGAUUGCAGAUUGAGAAGGAAUCAGCACCUGGGCAGAGCACAAUAAUUAAUAAUGACCCUAGGAAAUUAGGGAAGCCAAGUGAUCGGAAGCCAAAAAUGAAGUUCAUAAGAAUAAAUCUGGGAAAGAGAAACAAACUAUAUCACUUCAAGAUAGAGAAGAACUAGGUAAAGAUUUCCAGCACUCUCAACUUGCUUAGGACUCCUACCUCUGCUCUGUACCCCACACGUGGUAAUGACACCUUAGAUUACUCCUGAAACUCUGGCUCAAGAGAGGACAGAAAUGCUUUUCCUUGGUUUCCAUAAGCACAGCUGAAGUGGGCUGGUGUUUACAAAGAGACUUUAUUAAAAACUGUAGGAAAACUAGAAAUAGAAACAGAACACAUGAAAACAGCUGAGCUUACACAGCAUAAGUUUCUGAUUAUACUACAGCAAGCAUGUUCUCAGGGCUUAUAGGUCCAACCCUGCUUUCAUCCUUCCGAGG